GAGAGCGUAGUUUAAAUGGAUAAAAUCUCGGUCUACGAAACCGAAGACGUGGGGGUUCGAGUCCCUCCGCUCUCG
rnacentral:tRNA from 1 species